UUGGGCUUGCUUAUUGUUCAAUUCAGUACUGU
rnacentral:piRNA from 1 species